AAGAAACCCUGAGACAGAACUACCCAGCUUCCCUCCUAAAGCCAGCGAGACCACAAACCCACUGGGAGGAACAAACAACUCCAGAUAUGCCAGCUUUAAGAGCUGUAACACUCACUGGGAAGGUCUGCAGCUUCACUCCUGAAGUCAGCAAGACCACGAACCCAUUGAGAGGAAUGAACAACUCCGGACGUGCUACCUUUAAGAGCUGUAACACUCACUGCGAGGGUCCGUGUCUUCACUCCUGAAGUCAGCAAGAUCAUGAACCCACCAGAAGGAAGAAACUCCGGACAUAUCUGAACAUCUGAAGGAACAAACUCUGGACACACCAUCUUUAAGAACUGUAACACUCACCGUGAGGGUCUGCGGCUUCAUUCUUGAAGUCAGUGAGACCAAGAACCCACCAGAAGGAACCAAUUCCAGACACAUUUUGUCUACCCAGAUGGGACUAUCGCCUAUCGCCAAGUGGAGGACAGGCAACGGUGCAGGUUUUCAAGAAUGCAUUGGUAAGGGCCACUAAAUCCGACCUUCCUCAGUCCUCCUUGUGGUCUAGGAGGAAAACUAGUGUUUCUGCUACUGCAUUG
rnacentral:lncRNA from 1 species